AUAAUGAUACUCCCGUCCAGUCAUAGCCCGAGCGUUAAGAGCGUCCCCGGCAAUGAGGGCGGCGGCCGGAGAACCUGGCCGGGGUAAAAA
rnacentral:ncRNA from 1 species